AUUCCAGCUCCAAUAGCGUAUAUUAAAGUUGUUGCGGUAAAAAAGCUCGUAGUUGGAUUUCUACCGAAGAUAGCCGGUCGGGUCUUCGACCUUGUAUCUGGUUUUGUCUUUGGUAUCCUCAUGGGGAACGUUGCUGCGCUUCACUGCGUGGUGCGGUAUCCAUGACUUUUACUUUGAGGAAAUUAGAGUGUUCACGGCAGGCAAACGCCCUGAAUAUAUUAGCAUGGAAUAAUAACAUAGGAUCUUCGUCCUAUUUUGUUGGUUUCUAGGGCUAAGAUAAUGAUUAAUAGGGAUAAUUGGGGGCAUCUGUAUCAACGCGUCAGAGGUGGAAUUCUUGGAUUGCGUUGCGACAAACUACUGCGAAAGCAUUUGCCAAGGAUGUUUUCAUCA
rnacentral:rRNA from 1 species